CAGCCUCGAACAGUGCAACUAAUUGAGUGGAGCCUUGGAUUGCGCAAUCGGAGCAAAAUAUAUCACCCAACCACAGAGGCCCACAAAAGAGCCACUGCGUGAUUUGCCACCACCGACACACACUGAAGAUGACUGGGCCUAUGACAGUGCAUGGGAGACCCCACCACUGCCACAAAGGGCUGUCAGCCAGUUUGACCACUGUCAAGAAAGCAAAGUGCGGCAUUUUUCAAGUCCCGCACCACAUCUUCAAAAUACACGGUGUACAGAUAGUCCUAUUAGCCGGCCAUCGCGGGAUUGCGGAUUCAACUUUGCCCAGAGGACACAAUCUAAUGGACCUGACCCAACUAGUAGAGGCACCACGACGCCUGGCUCCCAUUCAGCUCCUCGAUCUAAAAAGGUUGAACUUUUGUCAAGCCACCCAGUUGGCAGCAAAAGGCCUCCUGUGUCCCUGCCUGACCGAGCUACAACUCUACGACGAUGCCCUCACGACGGCGUUCAUCGUCGGCCUGCAGCGGUUCUCCUGCGAAUACCAGACCCUCUACUGUCUCGAACGGCUCACACUACACACGAACGUUGGCAGUCGUAGCGGCCUCUCUGGACGGCAGGAACUUCCGUCCGACCUCGAUCGCAUGCUAGCCUUGCUGCCGGCGUUACGAAGAGCUUGCACGGACGACUACAGGUUGCGGCUACACUUCGAGAACCGCGCGCCGUGGGUCGACCUGCGGUGGGGCAUGUGUAUGGUCUGCUUUGCGGAGUACCCGAAGAUAGACGCGUUGCAAGAAGAAAUGUGGCGUAACCUACAUUAUUCUAAGUAGCAGAUUGCAUAGACAGUCGUUGCAGAAGUCAUGCGCAUGUGUAGUGACGUAAUGGCGUGACGCUGCAGCUUUAAAGUUCGCACAGAGGAAGGUAUUAUACCAACGUGCACGAACUGCUCCUGCGUGAUAUGCCUUCUUCAAAGUUCCCAGAUAAGGUGGAGCGCGAUGGAACGCACGUGUAUGGCUGCUCAGUAACCUCAACUGUUGAACUCGGCGCGGAAAAUAAACCGAUGUCCUGAGAUGCUGAUACAGUGUGAAUACGUACAGUGUGCCCGAUGGGAACAAGCUGAUUGAAGCCUGUGCGGGAAAUAUCUGUGUCUGCGGUUCAAGAACUACAAGGACAGAGAUGAACAGGCGAUUAACAAUGGUAAAGCAAGGAGUGUAGCUUAAGUGAACUUACCGACGAGGAGAAUGUCGUCAUCAAGGCAGCAACUGCCUUUUCUUUUUCUCCGAGAGCAGUUGCUGCCAAAGCCAUGUUUUUGCUGCUUCUGCGUUCCCGCGCAUUAAGUUGUAACUGGGGCCUCCAGCUGCCAUCUACUAGUUUCCUGGUUCCAGACACAUGACCAAAACAAAGGGUUCAUAAACCCUUUGUUUUGGUCCUACGUUUCAGAAUUUGAGUACCAAGUCUGUAGAAUGCUCCAGACUAUAAUGAUAAGAGUAGAGGAGCAAGGAAGGCAGCUGGAUGCAUGCAAUUCAGAGACGACUCUGCAGUGAACUGCCAGAACUAUCUACCAAAGAAGAUGUUGUCGAAAAGCCAUUCGUAGACUGUGAAGAAUUUGAAGAGUUUGAUAGUAAACUGGGAGUGGAUGCAGCCUUGAAGGCACGGCUGGUAUGGCACAUUCCUACCCAAAAGCUUUUGAUUAGCUAAUGUGGAGGGGCUGCAUGUUACUAAUGAUCUGUUACAUUUUUAUAGCUUCAUCAGUUAUCUGGAAUUGGUAGGUCUGCCAUUGGCGCGGCCACAAGACGGAUUCUACAGCUGUUGCUGACCCAUCAACUGGCUGUACAGUACAGCUGGGCAGGGCAAAAGAAAGUUUAUGGCCCUUAAUACGGCGGAGCUCAUAUUUAGUCCUCCCUCUGACUGCUCUGAUGAGUGAAGAAGCUGCACUCACUGCAAAUUUUCACUUGAAAAAUAAAUGAAUUUUCUGCA
rnacentral:misc_RNA from 1 species